rnacentral:tRNA from 1 species
AAGGCUUUAAGUUAAAUAAACUAAUAGCCUUCAAAGCUAUAAAUAUAAGAAUUAUCUUUUAAGUCUUA